GACGAAAGUCUGAUGGAGCAACGCCGCGUGAGCGAAGAAGGCCUUCGGGUCGUAAAGCUCUGUUGUUAGGGAAGAACAAGUAUCGGAGUAACUGCCGGUACCUUGACGGUACCUAACCAGAAAGCCACGGCUAACUACGUGCCAGCAGCCGCGGUAAUACGUAGGUGGCAAGCGUUGUCCGGAAUUAUUGGGCGUAAAGCGCGCGCAGGCGGUCCUUUAAGUCUGAUGUGAAAGCCCACGGCUCAACCGUGGAGGGUCAUUGGAAACUGGGGGACUUGAGUGCAGAAGAGGAAAGCGGAAUUCCGCGUGUAGCGGUGAAAUGCGUAGAGAUGUGGAGGAACACCAGUGGCGAAGGCGGCUUUCUGGUCUGUAACUGACGCUGAGGCGCGAAAGCGUGGGGAGCAAACAGGAUUAGAUACCCUGGUAGUCCACGCCGUAAACGAUGAGUGCUAAGUGUUAGGGGGUUUCCGCCCCUUAGUGCUGCAGCUAACGCAUUAAGCACUCCGCCUGGGGAGUACG
rnacentral:rRNA from 1 species